rnacentral:rRNA from 1 species
GACGAACGCUGGCGGCGUGCCUAAUACAUGCAAGUUGAGCGAUGAAGAUUGGUGCUUGCACCAAUUUGAAGAGCAGCGAACGGGUGAGUAACGCGUGGGGAAUCUGCCUUUGAGCGGGGGACAACAUUUGGAAACGAAUGCUAAUACCGCAUAACAACUUUAAACAUAAGUUUUAAGUUUGAAAGAUGCAAUUGCAUCACUCAAAGAUGAUCCCGCGUUGUAUUAGCUAGUUGGUGAGGUAAAGGCUCACCAAGGCGAUGAUACAUAGCCGACCUGAGAGGGUGAUCGGCCACGUUGGGACUGAGACACGGCCCAAACCCCUACGGGAGGCAGCAGUAGGGAAUCUUCGGCAAUGGACGAAAGUCUGACCGAGCAACGCCGCGUGAGUGAAGAAGGUUUUCGGAUCGUAAAACUCUGUUGGUAGAGAAGAACGUUGGGGAGAGUGGAAAGCUCAUCAAGUGACGGUAACUACACAGAAAGGGACGGCUAACUACGUG